rnacentral:rRNA from 1 species
UGAUUGAACGUGCUUGCACGGACUUGACGUUGGUUUACCAGCGAGUGGCGGACGGGUGAGUAACACGUAGGUAACCUGCCCCAAAGCGGGGGAUAACAUUUGGAAACAGAUGCUAAUACCGCAUAAUAAUUUGAAUCGCAUGAUUCAAAUUUAAAAGAUGGCUUCGGCUAUCACUUUGGGAUGGACCUGCGGCGCAUUAGCUUGUUGGUAGGGUAACGGCCUACCAAGGCUGUGAUGCGUAGCCGAGUUGAGAGACUGAUCGGCCACAAUGGAACUGAGACACGGUCCAUACUCCUACGGGAGGCAGCAGUAGGGAAUCUUCCACAAUGGGCGCAAGCCUGAUGGAGCAACACCGCGUGAGUGAAGAAGGGUUUCGGCUCGUAAAGCUCUGUUGUUAGAGAAGAACGUGCGUGAGAGCAACUGUUCACGCAGUGACGGUAUCUAACCAGAAAGUCACGGCUAACUACGUGCCAGCAGCCGCGGUAAUACGUAGGUGGCAAGCGUUAUCCGGAUUUAUUGGGCGUAAAGCGAGCGCAGGCGGUUUGAUAAGUCUGAUGUGAAAGCCUUUGGCUUAACCAAAGAAGUGCAUCGGAAACUGUCAGACUUGAGUGCAGAAGAGGACAGUGGAACUCCAUGUGCAGCGGUGGAAUGCGUAGAUAUAUGGAAGAACACCAGUGGCGAAGGCGGCUGUCUGGUCUGCAACUGACGCU